GACAAUCUAGGGUUCCUUGAUUUGGAUGGACGCUGAAAUUUGGGGUUAUGAAGGUUAACGAUGAUAGUACGUUGUACGCGAUGAUGUGAUGUUACGUUUUGGGUUUGGGAGAUGAUUUAGGGUUUGGAUAAGGCUUCGUUUGGCUGGCAAUUUUUUUUAUGAUGAUGAUGAUUGGACAAUGAUUUUGGGACAGAGGUAUGGGUGGCAGAAGGUGGUUUGGGGUUGGGCUUUGAU
rnacentral:lncRNA from 1 species